UUAGGAGUAAAGUUCUAUGGUUUCUGGUAAAAGUCGCUAGUCAUUGUGGAUAAAACGUUAUAUUAUUGUGAGACGAUCGAGGAGAAUGAAAGUAAUAUAACACCAUGAAAUGUAUUUCGAAAUUUCGAGAAUCAAUAAAGCCGUCUUUACAACAUGGCGGUGUUUCGAAAGCCACGGGGCGGUAUUCGAGUUGUUUUCUCGAAUAUCUCUUACUCUUUUCAUGAUAAUAACAAUGAGAAGGAAUUUCAGGAUCGAGAAACACAAUCAAAGAACAUUUUAUGUGAAUUUUUAUGUACUUACUGGCCUUCUUGAGUCAUAUUUCGAGAGCUUCGUUCCGUAAGAAGCAAACAAACACAGAGCGCUUACGUAUCGCGCCGUAGAUCCGUGAUUCGAGAGUGUUUCGAGAUUCAACUAUCGAUCAAACAAAAUGGCGAUUGGUUGCUUUUGUCGAUGUCGAAUUCUCUUGUUUCCGGAAUCGAAAUUUGAAAAAUCUCUAUUUACCAAUCUAAGUCUGGUAAUCUUGAAACGUAAUAUAAUUUUUGAUAUUAUAAAUAAAUUUCACGCUAUUAUGUGGUAUAGUGGGAUUAAUUGCCAAGAUUAAUGAAGUGAAAACAUUUUCAACUUGCUUCAUUUCUCAUUUGUAUUUCGAGACGUUAAAAUAUAUGGUUAUCCGAUA